GACGAACGCUGGCGGCGGGCUUAACACAUGCAAGUCGAGCGCCCCGAAAGGGGAGCGGCAGGCGGGGGAGUAACGCGUGGGAAGCUACGCGUCUCUACGGAAUAAAGCGUGAAAACGAGUGCUAAUAACGGAUACGUACUUCGGGAGAAAGAUUUAUCGGUGAUGGAUGAGCCAGCGUUGGAUUAGCUUGUUGGUGGGGUAAAGGCCUACCAAGGCGACGAUCCAUAGCUGGUCUGAGAGGAUGAUCAGUGACACUGGAACUGAGACACGGCCCAGACUCCUACGGGAGGCAGCAGUGGGGAAUAUUGGACAAUGGGCGCAGGCCUGAUCCAGCCAUGCCGCGUGCAUGAUGAAGGCCCUCGGGUUGUAAACUUCUUUCACAGGUGAAGAUAAUGACGGUAACCGAAGAAGAAGGCCCGGCUAACUUCGUGCCAGCCGCCGCCGUAA
rnacentral:rRNA from 1 species